rnacentral:tRNA from 1 species
GGUGGCUUAGUGGUAGAGCGCUUGCCUAGCAAGCAUGAGGCUCUGGGUUCGAUUCCUCAGCACCA